GGAAUCCUCACACUUCACCGUAAGAUAAAUGGCUCUAUUAUUCUACGUACCCUCCACGGGUAUCGGAAAAAGUGACUCUGUUUACUUCAAAUAUCUUGUUUGCUUCUUUUCCAAGUGGUUUACUAAGAUCUUGUCGUGAAUGUAGGCCUCGUUCAAGAUUUUCAUCAACGCUUGACGGUGCUCGUCUGAAUGGAUUAACAGUGACAGCAAGGAAAUCUGAGCAUG
rnacentral:lncRNA from 1 species